rnacentral:ncRNA from 1 species
GUAGCGCACAUCCCGCAUAUUGGAACAACUUUCUCUCCAAUUAAUUCUUAAAUGUAUUGCAAAAGGGUACAAAAAAGCGGUUUGUUUUAACAACGCCCAAAAGGUUUUGAUUGUUUUUCAAUACUUUUACCUGUACUAGAAGAGAUGCGACGGCCAGCGACGCACAGGAUUGGCUGCCGUUCCUUCGCUAAACGCAGGAACUGCUCCCCGCGUCGUAGUAAAUCCUACCCCGUAUCCCGCGCGUAGGGACGCCUCAGGGAAUGCGUAACUACUUCCGCUCGUCGGUGGUUGGCUCCGGACGUCGCUGAAACGGGUGACGGGUGUCAAGUUUGCGAUGACGUAGCGGCGUCAAAGUGGGCAGAGCCGCCACGUGAGUGUUGCUAGGAUACGCUCCUCCUUUGCAUUACGUCACUUCCAUGUACCUUUUCUCAAAUGUCCAACCUAGCGAUCCAGGCGUCAGAGGUCCGAUUCUUUCCCCGCCUCCUCUCGUGGUCAAGGCGCCGGCCUGCCUGAGGCUGACUGGACUACCUGAGGCGCUAAAGACAACUCCAGCGACCGGGUUCACUAACGUCUCCGGGAACGAGACGCUCCGGACUAACAACAAGUGCUGCCGAGACCAUCAACGACGAGCCCUCCACCAUCCUCUUUCGGCGCUACCCCUCCAUGUGACAAGGGAAAAACACUGUGAGAGAGACAGCACGUACAAUGACAUUCUGUAAAUAGCCGAGGUGUAAAUAUUUGGUUUUUCUUUUCUUCUGAUAUCUAUGUCGCAAUAGUGAAAUAUUCCCUAACGCAUCCUGUGUCCUCUGUACUUCUAUUAACACCAUAAACACACGAACCACGUACCAUCACUGCACCCAUUCAAGAACAACUUUGAGUCCGGCCGCUGGAGGUGACCGGCGACGGCACUUGUUUGGCUGUCGUGGGAGUUAUGCCUGGCCGGUAAUGGAGUACGUCAUUCUUUCCAAACCUCAUGGGAUACUCCCUUCGGGGAAGCCCGAAACAAAGCUUUCCGGAUGCGGAGCGGAAAAUCCGGCUGGGUCAAAGGGUCCGCUGCCUUACGCCAGGUAUUCCCCUGACGUUCGGUGCACGGCCCGGAAUUAGCGAGGCGGGCUCUUUGCGGUGAGGUUUUGCGUCAUGGUAGGCGGCGAGUAGGCUGGUAACCCACCUGACCCGUCUUGAAACACGGACCAAGGUGUCUAACAUGUGCGCGAGUCAAUGGGUCCCUCAAAACCCAGAGUCACGAUGAAACGUGAAAGCGCGGCCUCGUGCCGUGCCGAGUUGCCAUUCCGGGCCGCCCAGGGUUUCGAUGAAGGGAGCAGCAACGGCCCGCCCCACACGCUCACGUUGUGGGGGCGGCGCUAGAGCGCACACGUUGCCACCCGAAAGAUGGUAAACUAUGCCCGGGAAGGACGAGGCCAGAGGAAACUCUGGCGGAGGUCCGAAGCGCUUCCGGCGUGUAAAUCGAUCGUGCGACCCAGGAAUGGGGGCGAAAGACUAAUCGAACCAUCUAGUAGCUGGUUCUCUCCGAAGUUUCCCUCAGGAUAGCUGGCGCUUGUUGCCUAGACAAGUCACACCUGGUAAAGCGAUGAUUAGAGGCAUGGGGGUUGAAACGACCUCAACCGAUUCUCAAACUUUCAAUGGGUGUGUCGGAGGCCUUCUGGUCUGAGGCCUCCGGAAGCGAUGAGAGUGCCAAGUGGAUCACUUUUGGUAAGCAGAACUGGCACUGUGGCAUGACCAAACGUCGGGGUAAGGCGCUCGAUGCGGGACUCUCUUGAGAUGCCAUGAAGGAUGUUGGUUGCUUAAGACAGCAGGACGGUGGCAAUGGAAGUCGGAACCCGCUAAGGAGUGUGUAACAACUCACCUACCGAAGCAACCAGCCCCGAAAAUGGAUGACGCUCUAGUGUCGAGCCUAUCUCCGGCUGCCGCCGGCAGAUUCAGGCAAACAAGGGGUUGCUAAGCUGGAGCGAGUAGGAGCUCCGCUGCGGUGAGUGUUAAAGGUGUCGGGCGACAGCCCGCCUGGAGCCACCGCUGAUGCAGAUCUUGGUGAUAGUAGCAAAUACUCAACUAAGAACCUUGAGGACUUAAGUGGAGAAGGGUUCCAUGUGAACAGCAGUUGAAUAUGGGUCAGUCGGUCUUAAGAGAAAGGAGAAGUUUUUUCCGAAGCGGGAGCACUUUUUUGCAGUGGAGACAGUCCCGCAGUGACCAAAAGGGAAUCGGGUUAAUAAUCCCAGACACGGAGCCUGGUCCUCCGGGGCCCAGUGCGGUAACGCAAACCAGCUCGGAGACGCCGAUACAAGCCACGGGAAGAGCUUUCUUUUCUCUGUAAAGAGAUCGAGUCCCUGGAAUAAAUUCGCCCCGAGAGAGGGAUGGUGGCUCCGUAGAGCAGUGGUGCGUAUCUUGCGCUGUACGAUGCGGUCGCGUCUGCCCUUGAAAAUCUCAGUGAGGGAGUGUGAUUUUCGUGCCGGACCAUGCCCACAUACGCAGCAGGUCUCCAAGGUGCGUUGUCAAGCUGGGGAUCAUUAAUUAAGAUUAAAACGU